GCUGACGACCUCCACCUGCCCGGGUUUAUUGUUCGGAGUUUGCUCUCCUAGGCAGAUUGCCUACCACGGCUGACGACCUCCACCUGCCCGGGUUUAUUGUUCGGAGUUUGCUCUCCUAGGUGAACUGCCUACCACGGCUGACGACCUCCACCUGGCCGGGUUUAUUGUUCGGAGUUUGCUCUCCUAGGUGAACUGCCUACCACGGCUGACGACCUCCACCUGCCCGGGUUUGUUGUUCGGAGUUUGCUCUCCUAGGUGAACUGCCUACCACGGCUAACGAACCUCACCUGCCCGGGUUUGUUUAGAGUUUGCUCUCCUAGGUGAACUGCCUACCACGGCUAACGAGCCCCACCUGCCCGGGUUUGUUUAGAGUUUGCUCUCCUAGGUGAACUGCCUACCACGGCUAACGAGCCUCACCUGCCCGGGUUUGUUUAGAGUUUGCUCUCCUAGGUGAACUGCCUACCACGGCUAACGACCUCCACCUGCCCGGGUUUGUUUAGAGUUUGCUCUCCUAGGUGAAUUGCCUCCCACGGCUAACGACCUCCACCUGCCCGGGUUUGUUUAGAGUUUGCUCUCCUAGGUGAACUGCCUACCACGGCUAACGAGCCUCACCUGCCCGGGUUUGUUUAGAGUUUGCUCUCCUAGGUGAAUUGCCUCCCACGGCUAACGACCUCCACCUGCCCGGGUUUGUUUAGAGUUUGCUCUCCUAGGUGAAUUGCCUCCCACGGCUAACGACCUCCACCUGCCCGGGUUUAUUGUUCGGAGUUUGCUCUCCUAGGUGAAU